rnacentral:rRNA from 1 species
UACAGUAUAUCAUCCUGCAAUUUCCAUUUGGCAGUAUAAUGAAACUAAGCAGGUGUGAGCCUGGCCAGUACCUGGAUGGGAGACCACCUGGGAAAAGCUAAGGUUGCUUUUG